rnacentral:rRNA from 1 species
GAUGAACGCUGGCGGCGUGCUUAACACAUGCAAGUCGAACGUGAGGGUGUAGCAAUAUGCCUGAAAGUGGCGAACGGGUGAGUAACACGUAGAUGACCUGCCCUGGAGUGGGGGAUAACCAUUGGAAACGGUGGCUAAUACCGCAUACAUCCAGAAGAUUGGGAAAUUUUCUGGGGAAAGCUCUGGUGCUCUGGGAGGGGUCUGCGUCCGAUUAGCUAGUUGGUGAGGUAAAGGCUCACCAAGGCGACGAUCGGUAGCUGGUCUGAGAGGACGAUCAGCCAAACGGGAACUGGGACACGGUCCCGACUCCUACGGGGGGCAGCAGUGAGGAAUAUUGGGCAAUGGGCGAGAGCCUGACCCAGCAACGCCGCGUGGAGGAAGACGGCCUUCGGGUUGUAAACUCCUUUUGACAGGGAAGAGAGAGGACGGUACCUGUCGAAUAAGUCACGGCUAACUACGUGCCAGCAGCCGCCGUAAAAC